rnacentral:rRNA from 1 species
GAUGAACGCUGGCGGCGUGCCUAAUACAUGCAAGUCGAGCGAAUGGAUUAAGAGCUUGCUCUUAUGAAGUUAGCGGCGGACGGGUGAGUAACACGUGGGUAACCUGCCCAUAAGACUGGGAUAACUCCGGGAAACCGGGGCUAAUACCGGAUAACAUUUCGAACCGCAUGGUUCGAAAUUGAAAGGCGGCUUCGUCUGUCACUUAUGGAUGGACCCGCGUCGCAUUAGCUAGUUGGUGAGGUAACGGCUCACCAAGGCAACGAUGCGUAGCCGACCUGAGAGGGUGAUCGGCCACACUGGGACUGAGACACGGCCCAGACUCCUACGGGAGGCAGCAGUAGGGAAUCUUCCGCAAUGGACGAAAGUCUGACGGAGCAACGCCGCGUGAGUGAUGAAGGCUUUCGGGUCGUAAAACUCUGUUGUUAGGGAAGAACAAGUGCUAGUUGAAUAAGCUGACACCUUGACGGUACCUAACCAGAAAGCCACGGCUAACUACGUGCCAGCCGCCGCCGUAA